rnacentral:rRNA from 1 species
UACAGAGGGUGCGAGCGUUAAUCGGAAUUACUGGGCGUAAAGCGUGCGUAGACGGUCAUGUAAGUCGGAUGUGAAAGCCCCGGGCUCAACCUGGGAAUUGCAUUCGAGACUGCAUGGCUUGGGUGCGGAAGAGGGAAGCGGAAUUCCCGGUGUAGCGGUGAAAUGCGCAGAUAUCGGGAGGAACACCGGUGGCGAAGGCGGUUCUCUGGGCCUUACCUGACGCUGAGGAGCGAAAGCGUGGGGAGCGAACAGG